GGACGAACNUCUUUUAUUAUUAACUGCUCUUUCCUUUACUUUACCUAACCAGAAUGCCCCGGCUAACUACGUGCCAGCAGCCGCGGUAAUACGUAGGGGGCAAGCGUUGUCCGGAAUUAUUGGGCGUAAAGCGCGCGCAGGCGGUCCUUUAAGUCUGAUGUGAAACCCCACGGCUCAACCGGGGAAGGUCAUUGGAAACUGGGGGACUUGAGUGCAGGAAAGAAAAGUGGAAUUCCACGUGUAGCAGUGAAAUGCGUAAAGAUGUGGAAGAACACCCGGGGCGAAGGCGACUCUCUGGCCUGAAACUGACCCUCAGGCAGCGAAAGCGUGGGGAGCAAACAGGAUUAAAUACCCUGGGAGUCCACGCCGAAAACAAUGACCCCUAGGUGUAAGAGGGUUUCCUCCCCUUGGAGCAGGCAGAAAACACGUUUAACCA
rnacentral:rRNA from 1 species